rnacentral:rRNA from 1 species
CACGCCCUAAACGAUGCCUACUAGGUUGUAGGGGUUCUGACGCCCUUACAGUCGGAGCAAAAGUGUUAAGUAGGCCGCCUGGGGAGUACGGUCGCAAGGCUAAAACUCAAAGGAAUUGACGGGGGCUCACACAAGCGGUGGAGCAUGUGGAUUAAUUCGAAGCAACGCGCAGAACCUUACCUGGGUUUGACAUGCUUGGAUGCCGCCCUGGAAACAGGGUUGGCUGCCUUCGGGUGAAACUUGCACAGGUGC